CCUACGGGAGGCAGCAGUGAGGAAUAUUGGUCAAUGGGCGGGAGCCUGAACCAGCCAAGUCGCGUGAAGGAAGAAGGUACUUAGUAUUGUAAACUUCUUUUGUCGGGGAACAAAGGCGGAGACGCGUCUCCGGAUGAGUGUACCCGAAGAAAAAGCAUCGGCUAACUCCGUGCCAGCAGCCGCGGUAAUACGGAGGAUGCGAGCGUUAUCCGGAUUUAUUGGGUUUAAAGGGUGCGCAGGCGGAUUUUUAAGUCAGCGGUCAAAUCGUGGGGCUCAACCCCAUCCAGCCGUUGAAACUGGGGAUC
rnacentral:rRNA from 1 species